GACGAACGCUGGCGGCGUGCUUAACACAUGCAAGUCGAACGGAAAGGCCCUGCUUUUGUGGGGUGCUCGAGUGGCGAACGGGUGCGUAACACGUGAGUAACCUGCCCUUGACUUUGGGAUAACUUCAGGAAACUAGGGCUAAUACCGGAUAGGAGCUCCUGCUGCAUGGUGGGGGUUGGAACGUUUCGGCGGUUGGGGAUGGACUCGCGGCUUAUCAGCUUGUUGGUGGGGUAGUGGCUUACCAAGGCUUUGACGGGUAGCCGGCCUGAGAGGGUGACCGGCCACAUUGGGACUGAGAUACGGCCCAGACUCCUCCGGGAGGCAGCAGUGGGGAAUAUUGCACAGUGGGCGGAAGCCUUAUGCAGCAACGCCGCGUGCGGGAUGACGGCCUUCGGGUUGUAAACCGCUUUCGCCUGUGACGAAGCGUGAGUGACGGUAAUGGGUAAAGAAGCACCGGCUAACUACGUG
rnacentral:rRNA from 1 species